AUUGAACGCUGGCGGCAUGCCUUACACAUGCAAGUCGAACGGCAGCACGGGUGCUUGCACCUGGUGGCGAGUGGCGAACGGGUGAGUAAUACAUCGGAACAUGUCCUGUAGUGGGGGAUAGCCCGGCGAAAGCCGGAUUAAUACCGCAUACGAUCUACGGAUGAAAGCGGGGGACCUUCGGGCCUCGCGCUAUAGGGUUGGCCGAUGGCUGAUUAGCUAGUUGGCGGGGUAAAGGCCUACCAAGGCGACGAUCAGUAGCUGGUCUGAGAGGACGACCAGCCACGCUGGGACUGAGACACGGCCCAGACUCCUACGGGAGGCAGCAGUGGGGAAUUUUGGACAAUGGGCGAAAGCCUGAUCCAGCAAUGCCGCGUGUGUGAAGAAGGCCUUCGGGUUGUAAAGCACUUUUGUCCGGAAAGAAAUCCUUGGCCCUAAUACGGUCGGGGGAUGACGGUACCGGAAGAAUAAGCACCGGCUAACUACGUG
rnacentral:rRNA from 1 species